rnacentral:rRNA from 1 species
AUUGAACGCUGGCGGCAUGCCUUACACAUGCAAGUCGAACGGUAACGGGCCUUCGGGUGCCGACGAGUGGCGAACGGGUGAGUAAUACAUCGGAACGUGCCCGAUCGUGGGGGAUAACGAGGCGAAAGCUUUGCUAAUACCGCAUACGAUCUACGGAUGAAAGCAGGGGACCGCAAGGCCUUGCGCGGACGGAGCGGCCGAUGGCAGAUUAGGUAGUUGGUGGGAUAAAAGCUUACCAAGCCGACGAUCUGUAGCUGGUCUGAGAGGAUGAUCAGCCACACUGGAACCGAGACACGGCCCAGACUCCUACGGGAGGCAGCAGUGGGGAAUUUUAGACAAUGGGCGCAAGCCUGAUCCAGCCAUGCCGCGUGCAGGAUGAAGGCCUUCGGGUUGUAAACUGCUUUUGUACGGAACGAAAAGCCUUCUUUUAAUACAGGAGGGUCAUGACGGUACCGUAAGAAUAAGCACCGGCUAACUACGUG